rnacentral:misc_RNA from 1 species
UCUUCUUCCUCAUAAUCAGAUUUGCCAUCUGCAAUGAUGGUAAUGCAAUCCAAGGGGAAGGAGUUUUCCCUGCUUCUCUUCUUGUUGGUGUCGGUUUCCAUCACUUGUAGGAACUCGGGCCUGGUUGCUCCAUAUCGUGAUGAGAACUUGCUUUGUUUUAUGCUUGCAUUGCAUUUGUGCAGCACAUCUUUGGAAUACAAUAGUUGGAUCCCACACAUUUUCACCUUCAACUGAGAAUAUUUGAAUUCUGAUUUGAACACAAAUGACGCUUCCAUGACAUUGCAACAACUUUGUAUGAGGAAAUGAUUUAGAUUACAAAAAUAACGUGGCUUGUAGUAGAAAAGAAACAGGUGGUCUGAUUCAAAGACCACCUCAAAAAGGUUGAGUGAAGACAAAAACCUGCCAGACCUUUCAUUGUCAUAUGUUUCUCUCAUAGGAAUUUUGAAACGGCAUUCACAUGCAAAGUAGAAACAAUCACCUUCCUUGGGAACAACAGGAACCUCAAAAUC